UACGGAGGGUGCAGGCGUUAUCCGGAAUUAUUGGGCGUAAAGGGUCUGUAGGUGGCUUUUCAAGUCCGUCGUCAAAUCCCAGUGCUCAACCCUGGACAGGCGGUGGGAACUACCAAGCUAGAGUACGGUAGAGGCAGAGGGAAUUUCCGGUGGAGCGGUGAAAUGCGUUGAGAUCGGGAAGAACACCAACAGGCGAAAGCACUCUGCUGGGCCGUAACUGACACUCAGAGACGAAAGCUCGGGGAGCGAAUGGG
rnacentral:rRNA from 1 species